rnacentral:rRNA from 1 species
AUUGAACGCUGGCGGCAUGCUUAAACACAUGCAAGUCGAACGGUAACAGGCCCUUCGGGGUGCUGACGAGUGGCGGACGGGUGAGUAACGCUUAGGAAUCUACCUAGUAGUGGGGGAUAAACCCGGGGAAACUCGGGCUAAUACCGCGUACGCCCUACGGGGGGAAAGCGGGGGACUUUCGGGCCUCGCGCUAUUAGAUGAGCCUAAGUCCGAUUAG